GAAAUGCGAUAAGUAAUGUGAAUUGCAGAAUUCAGUGAAUCAUCGAAUCUUUGAACGCACCUUGCGCUCCUUGGUAUUCCUUGGAGCAUGCCUGUUUGAGUAUCAUGAAAUCUUCAAAGUAAAUCUUUUGUUAACUCAAUUGGUUUCUACUUUGGUAUUGGAGGUCUUUGCAGCUUCACACCUGCUCCUCUUUGUUCAUUAGCUGGAUCUCAGUGUUAUGCUUGGUUCCACUCGGCGUGAUAAGUUAUCUAUCGCUGAGGACACUGUAAAAGGUGGCCAAGGUAAAUGCAGAUGAACCGCUUCCAAUAGUCCAUUGACUUGGACAAUACUUUUAUGAUCUGAUCUCGAAUCAGGUAGGACUACCCGCUGAACUUAAGC
rnacentral:misc_RNA from 1 species